UGGGGUUAAGAUAUGAAACGACGUAGACAAUAAUUUAUUUAUGAAUUGUAUCUAUUUAUUUAUAAUUGCUGGGGAAACAAAAUAGUGGAAGACGAAUGAAUAAAAGAAAGAUGACAGAAUGCAGAAUAAUGAAGAAAAUGUUAACCAAAGAGAAGAGCAAGAUGUUUCAGUUCAGUAUGACUUUUCUAUUAAAUUUUCAAACAACUCAAAAAGUCAGAACUUAUUAGUUAACAAAAAAACAUUACACAGUGAGGAUGAAACUUCUAAAUCAGAAAGGGAUUCUCGUUUAUUAAAUGGGAAUACAAAGUCAGGGAAUUAUGGUGCAGUAAGUUCUGGGGAAUCACUGCGAAAAAGUCCCGCAAGUAAUUGUUAUGACGAGGAAUUUAUUGACCCAGUGGUAAAUCAGGACAACAAAUAUUUUGAGCCAGUGAAAGGUCAGGACAAAUUUACAGAUGGCCGAAAUGUGAACCCAACAGGAAAAGAAAUUCAGAAUGUCAUUGUUGAGACAUCAUUAAUUUCAUCAAACUCUGAGGAUGAAGGAUUAGAAAACAAAAUUCAGGGAUCUUGUGAUGAUCAGGGGGACAUUGAGUCUCCAGAUUUAUCAACUCCUACAUUUUCAUUCCGUGCCUUAGGCAGCCGACAUAAACUUAUCUUAAUAAGUGUAUCCUUGUGCAGUUUUCUGAGCUACCUGUGUUUGUCGUUGAUAGCACCAUUCUUUCCUAGUGAGGCUGCAUCCAAGAAUGUCAGUGAUUCUGUGUCAGGAUGGAUAUUUGGAAUUUUUGCUUUAACACAGUUUUUAAUAUCGCCUGUAUCUGGUAAAUUGUUGCCAUUAAUGGGGUUGAAGUUCAUGUACAUUGGCGGUCUAUUCAUAGCAGCAGGCUGUACAGUAUUAUUUGGGAUUCUAACCUACAUAGACACUAGCAGUGAGAAUAUUACCUUCAUUAUCUAUUGUUUCUUACUGAGAAUCAUCCUAGCUAUAGGUUGUUGUGGUCUUCAGACAGCAAGUUUUGCUCUAGUUGCCAAAGAAUUCCCAGACUCAGUUGCUACUGUUUUUGGUAUAACAGAGGUAUUUGUUGGAGUUGGUUUCAUGUCUGGUCCUGCUAUAGGAGGAUUUCUGUAUGGUAGUGGAGGUUUUAUCAUGCCAUUUGCAGUAGUCGGUGCUAUCAUGUUUCUAUGUGUCCCAUUUAAUUUUUGGUUGAUUCCAGUAGAUACAGUUGUUGAAAAGUCUUCCAGUUCUAAGAUCUCAUUCUGGGUGAUGAUGAAGUCCCCCAAGACUAUAAUUAACAGUUUCUCAACAUUAGUGGCUGCCAUGAUUUAUUCCAUUCUGGACCCAACACUAGAACCACAUCUGAGUGGCUCUUUCAAUUUAGAAGCUGAUAUCAUUGGUCUUCUAUUUUUGCUGAUGGCUGCAUUUUAUGCCAUUAUGUCACCUAUAGCUGGAUGGAUUUGUGAUAAAUUGCCAGAUAACCGUGGAGUAUUGAUACCAGGUUUUAUUAUUUCUGCUGUUGGUAUGCUGUUCCUCGGUCCUUCAGAAAUCCUUGGACUUAAAGAUUUAUUAGAUGACCAGCUAUGGUUAAACAUAGUAUCCCUUAUUGUACUUGGUAUUGGAUCCAGUUUAGCACUGAUACCAACAUUUGAUAUUUAUGUUAGCAUAGCAGAAGAGCUAGGAUUCGAUGAUGAUUUAGGAAUGUAUGGUAUUGUAGCAGGUCUGUGGGGAUCAAUGUAUGCUAUAGGGGAUUUUCUGGGACCAACAAUUGGUGGUACAUUGCUAGAUAUAUAUGGUUUUCCAUUUUGUUGUACUAUAACAGCAGGAGCAUGUUUAUUUAUGGUCCCCUUACUGUUAUUUUCAUGGCUGUAUGAUACUAGAUGUUGUAGACAAAAUUCCUGGAAGACUAACCCAAUUAUCAGUGAAACUACACCACUGCUUGCCGAUAGUUUACAGGAUUAUGAACAUGAUGUGUUGUCAACUUAUCCUCCACAAAAGCAAACUGCAGUAACAGUGACUUGAGGUUAUGUCAAUAUCUGUGAUAAAUGUAUUAAGUGCCAUUUGUCUUUCUUCACAAUUGUUUUUGGUUGACAUUAUUUGAGUUAGAGUUAUUUCCCUUUGUAACCAUCCUGCACAAUAUCCUUCAUAAAUCAAACACAUUCAAACAGUUUUACUGACUAAUACACUUAACAAUUUUAACUUGUUUAUGUCAUACAUAAUUCAUUUAUGAUCUUGUUAGGAUUUCACCUUGACCUGCCUGAUUCACAGGUUUUAAUUUGGUUUCUAAAAAAAGAAAAUUAUAAACAUCCAGCGAUUAAUAAAAAUCAAAUAUCAAUAAAUCUUCAAUGGUUGAUAAACUACCAUCUAGGGUGAAAAACCAUUAACUUUCUUUUUAUCUAUAUUUCUUUGGCAACAUCAAUGCUGUUUGGUUUAUGAUGGCAUAACGUUCAUCAAAAUUCCAUCUCAGUCAAGUAGUAUUAGACGGCAAAUUAUCAUACUGAAAUAUCAAAUGAUAUAUGAUUAAAACUAUACUAAUUCUUUACAUUAACUUUUUUGCAAUUAGGUAUUUUGUAAUUGUAUUUAUUCAGUAAUCAUUUUAACAGAUAACUCUUAUGAAUAUUGUGUUAUGACUAUACUUUAUUUUAUUUGUAUUGACAAAGGUCUAGUAAUUCAGCAUUAUUUACCUAUAUACUUACGUGAAAAACUUCAGGACAGUUAAUUUGUGAUUCAGGAAAAGUUUAAAUACAGCAUUUUUGAAUGCUAAUAUUGUUGAUAUUUGUUAAAUGUAUGUAAGAACGGAAAUGUGAUAUCCGAUAUAUGUAAUACAUUGUUAUGCAAGUGUUAAAGUAAGAUGAUAAACUUUAUAUAAGACGGUUGUGAUCAGGCUUUAUAUAUUCUAAUCAUGGUAAUAUAUAUAUGUAGUUAAGACAUGCAAUCUAGUUUUUAAAUGAAGAUAUAUAAUAUGUUAUUGAGAUGGGUGUCAAAUAAAUUGUUAAGAAAAAUCAAAACAAUUAAAAGAGGAAUAAAAACCACACUUCAAAAUAUUGUUUUCACAUUGAAAAUUCAGGUCAAGACGUCAAUGUUAACGUUUUUAUCUUUUGUAGUUUCAUGAAAAAGAAAGUUUUAUUAUUAUCACGUUAUAUUUGCCAUGUUGAGGUUGCUGUUAAUUCUCUCAUUUAAAAGUUCUUCUUUCUAUUGAAAACAAUAAUUGUUCAGCUUGACAGCAAACCUGGAUCUAUAUGUAGGGAGGACUUCUUUGGUCGUCUGCGUCAAAUUUUGUUAUCUGAAAAAUAAAAAAUAAAAGUGCUAGUCACUAUUUAACUUUAAUGCUCAUAAAUAUACUAGUUUUUAGGGCAUCCAAUUGUACAACUUUGAAAAUGAGAUGAUACAAUUCCACCAAAUAUGUACAGAUUUUGUACAGGAUUUCGAAUAAGGCAGACGUUUUUUGGGGUUUUGUUUUAUGAUUUGGGCUAUCUUAUUUUAAAAUAUGUCCGGCUAUAUCUUUGCCAUUUCUGUUUGAUGCUACAUCUUCCUGGAAAUACUCUCUAAUUUUAUCUUUAAUGUUUUUUUUUUCAAUGAAGUUCAAUAACAUUUUGUGUCCUACAAAAAAAAUUCAAAUGACAAUUAGUGUUUUGGUUUGAUAUUUUAAUUUAGGAAAAUCGAUAAGUAUCUUUUACUGACUGCAGUAAAUUAUAAAUAAUAUGAAAAAAAUGCAUUCCAAUUAAAUAAAGAGUUAUUUUCACUUAUUUGCUUUAUACAAGGUUUUGGAAUGACAAUUAAUUUGUAUGUUAAUAAGAAAGAAUAUUUAUAUCAUAAAAGGAGCAUUACAAGUCAUGUGUUAUUUCUAUGUUGGUCUCUACUAACUAUGUACAUUCAAAGGAAGGCCAAUGUAUAUUUCUGGUUUGGGAUUUAUUAACAGUGGACCAAGGGAGUUACUUGUUUAUUGCAAUGUUGGGGACUAUUAAGAUGUACCUAACAGGUAUGUUACUUUUACGCCUGCCAGUAUAUAGCAGUAUUGUCUAUAUAAAAACAGGGCUCUCUCCACAACUGUAGCAUUAUUUUAAGAUAUCAUCUUGCUUUAAGAAAUUAUUGCAUCACAUCCAUAGCACAAUCUAUAAGAAAAUUAUUUUAAAUAGCACCACUUUCCAGGAGUAUAGUAUCACAUUACCUUGAUGCUAAAGACCCUUUGACGAACACUAAACCAUAUAUAAAUAUAUGUUUGUGGCCGACUGCAGGAGAGUUACAUGUUAAUUACGGAAAAACUACAGCAUUAAUGAGUUGAUGAUUGUGAUAACUUGGUUCAGGGAUAUUUAUGGCAUACUUUGAAUUUGACCUUUACCAGGAAGCUGUAGAACUUAGGCCCGGAAUGAUAAAGCUUUGUAUAGCAUAUAGAAUUUUACAGGUAUGUUUUAAUGUACUGUUUCCAAAAAUCUGUUUAACAGAUGACCAGUGAGAUUCUGUAAAUUAUUGAAACCCUAAUUAGUCUUAAGAUUAUCAAGUGAAAAAAAAACAUCUAUUUAAGGUUUAUUAUAAAGUGUAUUGAUAUGAUUUUUUAACAUCACAGACCGUAUCAAUCCUCAACCAAUAUAAUCCUUUGAGCAGAUUUCCUCGGAUUAUAUUGGUGUAUUUGGUUGCUAUAGUUGUGAUAUUGAUUAUUCUCUAUUUGUAUAUUGGUCAAUGAUUUUGAUUACGUUUAUAUCUUUAUAAGUUAUUUACUAAUACAUUUUUUUUUAAA